GGAGCUUCGUUAGUUAGUUGGCAACAGGGCCUCUAGAAGCCAAGUAAAAUCGGUUGCUGUGAUUAGGUUCUAUGUUGAUCAACUUGACUGGGUUUUUGUGUAAGUUCACAGUUCAAACCCUGUAAAAUUCUGCUCAACUCGUAGGACAGAAAGCAGCCACUGUUCAUUAUUUGUUUAGUUCUAUCACUUGGCCACAACUAAACAUUAAGUAUAUCAAAAUUUAAUUAGAACCGAAGGUUUCACUACAUGUAAAUUCUUGGAUGGGCAGCUUUGUGGGUGCUGGCUUUGUGCUUAGCACAGGUCAGUAUUGCAAAAGGCAGCAAGUACAGUUGGCUUAGACCAAGGAAGGAUAUAUUACCUAGGAAGUGCAGUUAAGUGAGUUUUUCCUGAGAACAUCUUCCUGGACAUUUUUGUCCCUCUUGUAAAAGAUGUGCUUUCCGUUUUCUUAGUGGCUGUACUUUUAGAGUGGAAACCUUCAAAUGCCCUUGUCACCCAGCAUUGCAUUGUGAUUCUGUGAUACAGGAAAUGUAGAACCAGAGGGAGUAGUGAUCAGAAUGUCAGACAGCCGUAGUAGGGUCAGCUGCAGCUCCUUGGCAACAGGAGGGGAGAGAGAAAAGAAAAAUAAGAACCGGGGUAUGGCAGCCAGGGAAGACUUAGGGAGGGAGAGUCAUAGUAGGGAAUGUGACCGGUUUUACCCAGCUCUGCAUCCGUGAAGGUUCCAGGGCUAUUUGAGAGAGCGAUUAAGUCGCCCAGUGCUCAGAGAAGGAAGAUACAGUAAGAAAAACAGUUAUCAUUCUUGAAGUACUUGAAGAAAACAAGAAGCAAGAACUGGAGACCUCCAAGACAGUGCGGUCCUGGGUCACGCUAGCUUGAACUGAGAGGAAGCUACACGAAUUAAUUAAUCAUCAUGGCUUGUUUGUCUCAUGAAGCUCACACAGUGAUGGACCUAUCUGCAUUCCUGAACAGAGCUGGGAGCAACUUGUCGGCGCUCAAUCUUGUUUUAUCUUCAGAACCAACCCAGUGCCUGGCACCUGGACAGACUGCAGCAGCUAUUUCUCAACUCAAAGGAGUGAAAGAGUGAGUGGGGAUCUCAUUCCUGUGUUCCCAACAACAUUGAAGUCAGCAUUGUGGGAAUUUGGUGGGUGAGACAGAAGCGGUGAUGAAACACAAGUCGGACACUGUUGCUGGCCUCAGAGAGACCGGAGUACGAUAAUAUUUACAAAGGAUGAUGCCAUACAAGACAAGUUGCCUAAUACCAUGCCACAGCGAAGGGCAACAGCAAGGAUAGAUUGGCCAAAUGAAAGUUAAAUUUGAGUAAGUACACACUAUCUCAGGGAAUAUUUGAGAUAGAUUCAUCAAACACAUUAUUCACAGCUUAUUUGAAUUCACAUUUGACUGGACCACAAAUUAUUUUACCAUUCCUAGAGGGAAGGAGGUGGGCUAUAAGACAUUACUUCUGUUCUUUUCUUCCCCACCCACCCCCUUUCAGGGAAGGAUGGGACAGUGGUGAAAAGUUGGUGACCCAGUAGAGACAGACUUGCAAAGAUCACAGGGAGGGUAGGGUCUGGCAGAAGAACCCCUGUGUAACAAGCACCCAGAAUGGCGUGUUCAGAGACUGCCUGACAUUUGGCUCAACAGGUAUGUGAAAGGGGAUAAGAAAUGAAGCUGCAUGGUCAAGCAGAGCCUGUGCCUCCUACGUCGCAGUAUCAGCCUCCUGAGCACACAGCCCCCACCCCUUUUGCUGCCCUUCCUGGACAGGCAGAACGGGAUCCUUCUCCCUGGGCGAAUAGUUUAUCCUGACUUAAUUAGGCUUGAACAUUAGUCUGUCUUUGCAAACAGCAAACAGGAAAGACCCGGAACAUUUUGCAAGCUUCAUAAAUUGCUCAAUGUUUGUGUGCAUGUGCUUUUAAACAUUGGUGUCGAGAUGGCGAAGUUGGGGAAACCGUGAAUCCUAAUGGCUGCUUAGUCGAUGAAGAUGUGACAGUGUGAUCGAGCUGAACUCUCAGGAUACUUAGCACUUCACUCCUGCCCACUUUAUAGUAAAUAGAUAAUGAUGAGAGCAUGUGCUCACACUGGAUACUUGUGUGGAAGUGCCCUUACAUAACACGUGCCAUGCACACUGAGAAGUAUAAAGCAAAUAUAUUGCAAUAAUUAUCAAAGCUCACUGAUGAUUCAAAGAGCAGGAAAUGGUUAAAUAAUCUUCAUUGAUCAUUUAUUGUAUUCCAGAUAUCAACAUGGUCUUACUGGGGGUUUUUACAACAAUAUUAUAAUGCCAUCACAUAUAAAUCAUAAGGUAACAC